UCCUACGGGGGGCAGCAGUAGGGAAUUUUCGUCAAUGGGCGCAAGCCUGAACGAGCAAUGCCGCGUGAACGAGGAAGGUCUUCGGAUCGUAAAGUUCUGUUGAAGGGGAAAAAGAGCGGAGAGAGGAAAUGGUCUCCGAUUGAUAUUGCCCUUCGAGGAAGUCACGGCUAACUACGUGCCAGCAGCCGCGGUAAUACGUAGGUGGCGAGCGUUAUCCGGAAUGAUUGGGCGUAAAGGGUGCGUAGGCGGCCUGCUAAGUCUGGAGUGAAAGGUACCGGCUCAACCGGUACAGGCUCUGGAAACUG
rnacentral:rRNA from 1 species